GUGCUUGCUUCAGCAGCGCAUAUAUUAAAAAUGAAACAAUACAAAAAAGAUUAGCAUGGCUCCUGCACAAGGAUGAGACGCAAAUUCAGGAAGCGUUCCAUAUUUUU
rnacentral:snRNA from 1 species